AUCGAACGCUGGCGGCAGGCCUAACACAUGCAAGUCGAGCGGAUGAAGGCAGCUUGCGCCUGGAUUCAGCGGCGGACGGGUGAGUAAUGCCUAGGAAUCUGCCUGCUAUUGGUGGAUAACGUCCGGAAACGGGCGCUAAUACCGCAUACGUCCUGCGGGAGCAAGUGGGGGAUCUUCGGACCUCACGCUAUCAGAUGAGUCUAGGUCGGGCUAGCUAGUUGGUUGGUUAAAGGCCUACCUAGCCGGGGAUUCGUAACUGGACUGUGAGGAUGGUCAGUCACAUGAGAACUGGGACAGGGUCAAGGCUCCUGAGGUAGGGAGCAGAGGGGAAUGUGGGACAAUGGGCGAAAGCCUGAUCCAGCGAUGCGGCGUGUGUGACGAAGGUCUUCGGAUUGUGAUGCACUCUAAGGUGGGGGGAAGGGCAGUAAGUUAAGACCAUGCUGGUUUGACGUUACCAGCAGAAUAAGCACCGGCUAACUACGUG
rnacentral:rRNA from 1 species